rnacentral:rRNA from 1 species
UACGAAGGGGGCGAGCGUUGUUCGGAAUUACUGGGCGUAAAGGGCGCGUAGGCGGCCGCUCAAGUCAGAUGUGAAAGUCCUGGGCUUAACCUGGGGACUGCAUUUGAUACUGAUUGGCUUAAAUGCAGGAGAGGAUAGCGGAAUUCCCAGUGUAGAGGUGAAAUUCGUAGAUAUUGGGAAGAACACCGGUGGCGAAGGCGGCUAUCUGGACUGUGAUUGACGCUGAGGCGCGAAAGCGUGGGGAGCAAACAGG